GCCGAGGUGGCGGAACUGGUAGACGCGAGGGCCUUAAGAGCCCUUGUCAGCCAACUGACGUGGGGGUUCGAGUCCCCCCUUCGGCA
rfam:Candidatus Woesebacteria bacterium RBG_16_36_11 RBG_16_scaffold_86, whole genome shotgun sequence.